UCAUAUGUGCCUACAACGUUAAUGCCCUGAAUCCCAUUAGAAUUUUGCAGUUAAGCGUGCUUGGAUUAGAGUAGUAUUGGGAUGAGUGACCUCUCAGGAAGUCCUAGUGUUUUACAUGCC
rnacentral:rRNA from 1 species